GAUGAAAGAGGGAGGGGGGCAGAAUACAUGCAAGUCGAGCGAACGGACGAGAAGCUUGCUUCUCUGAUGUUAGCGGCGGACGGGUGAGUAACACGUGGAUAACCUACCUAUAAGACUGGGAUAACUUCGGGAAACCGUAGCUAAUACCGGAUAAUAUUUUGAACCGCAUGGUUCAAAAGUGAAAGACGGUCUUGCUGUCACUUAUAGAUGGAUCCGCGCUGCAUUAGCUAGUUGGUAAGGUAACGGCUUACCAAGGCAACGAUGCAUAGCCGACCUGAGAGGGUGGUCGGCCACACUGGAACUGAGACACGGUCCAGACUCCUACGGGAGGCAGCAGUAGGGAAUCUUCCGCAAUGGGCGAAAGCCUGACGGAGCAACGCCGCGUGAGUGAUGAAGGUCUUCGGAUCGUAAAACUCUGUUAUUAGGGAAGAACAUAUGUGUAAGUAACUGUGCACAUCUUGACGGUACCUAAUCAGAAAGCCACGGCUAACUACGUG
rnacentral:rRNA from 1 species